UGAAGUUAGUAAAGUGGCGCACGGGUGAGUAACGCGUGGGCAAUCUACCCUCGAAUUGGGGAUAACCCGCCGAAAGGCGUGCUAAUACCGAAUGAUAUCUUGAAAAUUCCGGUUUUUAAGAUCAAAGGUGGUCUCUAUAUAUAAGCUACCGUUUGGGGAUGAGCCCGCGUACCAUUAGCUUGUUGGUAGGGUAACGGCCUACCAAGGCUACGAUGGUUAGCUGGUCUGAGAGGAUGAUCAGCCACACUGGAACUGACACACGGUCCAGACUCCUACGGGAGGCAGCAGUGAGGAAUUUUGCGCAAUGGGGGAAACCCUGACGCAGCAACGCCGCGUGAGUGAUGAAGGCUUUCGGGUCGUAAAGCUCUGUCAGGUGGGAAGAAACCACAUGGUGUUAAUACCACCAUGUGCUGACGGUACCACUGAAGGAAGCACCGGCUAACUCCGUGCCAGCAGCCGCGGUAACACGGGGGGUGCAAGCGUUAUUCGGAAUUACUGGGCGUAAAGAGCGCGUAGGCGGUCUCUUAAGUCAGGUGUGAAAGCCCGGGGCUCAACCCCGGAAGUGCACUUGAAACUAUGGGACUUGAGUAUGGG
rnacentral:rRNA from 1 species